rnacentral:snRNA from 1 species
ACCACUUUUCGGCCUCUUGGCUAAGAUCAAGUAUAGUAUCUGUUCUCAUCGAUUAAAAGCAAUCGCUGAAUGAAGGCAGGUUAAGCAUCUCAGAAAGGCACACGCCUA